rnacentral:rRNA from 1 species
CGUCUCNGUUCAGAUUGCAGGCUGCAACUCGCCUGCAUGAAGUCGGAAUUGCUAGUAAUCGCAGAUCAGCAUGCUGCGGUGAAUACGUUCCCGGGCCUUGUACACACCGCCCGUCACACCAUGGGAGUCGGUAACACCCGAAGUCGGUAGCCUAACCGUAAGGAGGGCGCCGCCGAAGGUGGGGAUUGAUGACUGGGGUGAAGUCGUAACAAGGUAGC